ACGAAGCGGAACAUAAUAUGACAUUGGGGCCUCGUGAUUUCCAACGUAUAGUACUAUCACAAGAAUAAGAAGGUACAGCAGAAGCGUAACUCGAGUCGGUUCCCUUAUUGUUUUACGUCCACGAAAAUUUUAACUCGCUCACGCCAUCCUGGCUAGUACAACCGGAAGUUUUUAUAAGGUUUUGGUAGGUGCAAAGUGCCGGUGUCACAGAAGAUUCGCCCCC